rnacentral:rRNA from 1 species
UACGUAGGGGGCUAGCGUUGUCCGGAAUCAUUGGGCGUAAAGAGCGCGUAGGCGGCCAGAUAAGUCCGCUGUAAAAGUCAAAGGCUCAACCUUUGAAUGUCAGUGGAUACUGCCGGGCUAGAGUCCGGAAGAGGCGAGUGGAACUCCUGGUGUAGCGGUGGAAUGCGCAGAUAUCAGGAAGAACACCAACGGCGAAGGCAGCUCGCUGGGACGGUACUGACGCUGAGACGCGAAAGCGUGGGGAGCGAACAGG